rnacentral:lncRNA from 13 species
AUGCGCUACAGCAUCCUGGCGAAUGACUUGGUUUGGAAGAAGGACGAAAUGAAGGUGAGACCUGGGAAACCUCGCUGCUCUUUCACUCCUAGCUGUGGUCACCAUCUGUUAAGGGUUACCUCGGUGAAAGCUAACAAUCUUCUCCAGUUGGAGCAUUCUGAUUCUCUGUGUUCUGAGUCGGAGGGGGACCAGCUUGAGGAACUAGGGGUUCUGCCCAACACCCAGACGUGGAUCCACCUGACGUUCUCCAUUACCAACAACCCUUCAACUUUUCAUUACAUCUUCUACAGCUACUGUUAUUGUCAUGUUGUCAUUAACUGCUAAGAAAGUUUUCUUGCUCUGGGCACAUAACAUGUGAGAUACACAGAUGAACUAAAAACAGGAGCACUGCCAACACAAAGAGAGCCGCAGUGCCUGCAGUCUCCCUCUUCAAGUCCCCCUGCCGAGACUGGCUGCCUGUUGAGAACAAGGGACAGGCAGAACCUCCCACCCACACAGCAACCACCUCCUCAAAAUUACACACGCCAGAAUUCGGUAUUUUAGUUUAGAGUGUACAAAAAAAUCUGAAAAUAUAUUGACACAACUGUACCAAAAAAACAUUUAUAUAUUAAAAUCUUAAAUAUCACCAGGUUGAAUGGGGCACAGCUGUUUCACAAGGUGUUCAUUAUUGUCAGUUGUAAGGUAUCCUUUGGUGGUAUUUAUUUGUUCGACAUUAUUCAUUGUUGCAUCCUGGGACCUACAACAUAUAUAUAUUUAACCACAAGGGUGUACUAAUGAGCUAUGCAAGAUUUAUUUUAAAAUGAAUCACAAGAGAGGACUACUGAAAUGAUGUUAUUUCAGUGUAGACAAGGGAAGGGCAAGGUAAAAUUAAAACAUAUGCCAGCCAUAUGAGCCAGUGUAUGAAUCAAAAGGAUUUACAUCUGAAUGGACUGGAAAACAGCUGACGUUGUGAUCUGUAAGGUCUUCAAUGUGUCAAGCAGAUUACACGAUUUCUUUGCCAUUUCGGAAACCUAGCAACGUUUAAGACAUGGAUUUCAUGUUCUAAUGUUAACAAGGUUCCCAAAAGUAGUUAGAAGUAAUGUUUUCAUUUUAUUAGCUAAACAAAACUAGCUUAAACCGCUAAAUUGUUGUGGAAAUCAGCCUUGUUUGCAUAGUGAUGAUGAAAAGAACGUCAUUUAGGCUGUAAUGGUCUCCAAAAUUCUAACCAAUAGGUCAUCACACAGUUAAUAUAGCAAUGGACGCUAAUAGUUUAUUGAAUCCCAUUGUGACGCAGAGGGGGACACUUUUUGGCCGGGGGACUUUAUUUGGCAUGACAGGCCCAUCUGUCAACCUGGUGACAGAUGAAACAUCCACCUUGGAGCAGGAGGUGACUACUCUCUUUUUUUCUUUCACUCUUUAAAUCAAUCUCUCCCUCUGUACCAACUGUGGCUGGCUCCGCUUGGCCCUGCUCCAGACUACACCCCCAAAAAUAUCUCUCCUGUUAUUGCUGUAUUUUAGAGAAUGACCCAAGGCACUCUCUAAGGCUCCCUUCACAAAUCUCACACCUCUCCUGAUACACAUUGGUUCCAAAUAUCGUAUUUCCCUGUCCAAUCUCAGCCCCGGACAACAGAGCAUCUCUCACCCCCUUGUGGUAAUCUUUCAAUCUCACCUAUGAUGUCACAUGUCCAAACUUUUCCUGAUCUGUCACAGGGAUCCUCAAUAAUGGCCCAGUGGCCAUUGCGUGUGUGUGUCUGUGUGUUGGGCUGGGCCUAAUGCUUUUCCUAUAGACAGGCCCAUUAUGUGUGGCUGUGUGUGUGUGGCUACAUCCUCCCAGCCUGGUGUCCACAUCCUCCCCAGAGAGGAUUGACUAAAGGCAGACAGCCUGUGAUUAAUCAUGGGCCAGGAGGACCAGUGAAACAGAGAGAGAGCAGUCACAGAUAGACAGCGACAGAGGCAGGCAGACCCCCCACUUCACUUCACAGUAGUGGUCCUUCCCUCUCUGCACAGCCACACCUGGGUACUGGUGCUGCUUCCCUUUCUGUAUAUUGGUCUAUUCUCUCCCUCUUUCUCCUCUGAUGCUAUACUGCCUCAUCUACCCGUUUCCUCCCCUUUCUCUGCCUUUAUCCCCAUCUCUCUACCCCUCGUUCUCUUGUCAGUUUCUAGUUCUCUCUCUAUCCUUGUCUCUUACCCUCUCUCAUUCUCAGCCCCCCCUUCUUUCUCUCUCUGUCGCUCUCUCCCUCAGGGCAGUGAGUGAUGGGAAUUGGUCGACAGAGAGAUAAAUCCUGGGGAUGGAGGGGGUCUUGCACGCGACACUUGUCAGCGCGUUAAAGAUGAUUAAUGCGGGAUGCCCCCCUCCACCGGACCCCUCGGCUCUGUUUAAUCUGUGGGAGCGAAGGGGACGCAGAGGCAGACAGGGAGAGAGGGAACGAGGGAGGAGGAGGAGGAAGAGGGGGGCAAUAACAAGGAAAUAGGCCUGACAGAACUUUUUAGUGCUGAGAUUCCUCAGUAAAAUGCCAUGUGA